AGAAGUUUUAGGCGAAUCCCAGGCGCGCCAAGGAAAGUGCUACAAAAGCCAUCCAUCUUGCAAGCGUUGGUGCCGAGGCGCAACGCUGAGAACGCAAAUACUAAAGGGCGCUGUUCUUUCCUCGUGGAGCUCACAGUCCGCUGGGGAGACCGUGAGAUGACAGCAGAGAAACUAGCGCGAUCAGUAGUACUCAGCGCAAGGACAGCGAGCAGAGAAGGCAAACCUAGUGCUUGCUAAGGAAGACUUCACAGAGGAGUCACACCUUAAAAAAAAAAGGAGGGGUUAUUCCUGCUUUUGCCGUGCUGUGAUCCAGGGCAGAGCUCCAGGCUUCAUACGGUAAAACUCUCUGGGAAGGAAAGGAACUCAGAGUCCCAUGCAGAAAAUUGUUCAGCUGGAGGGGUAUCAGAAAGAUGGAUUUCCAAAGCCAACUGUUUCCUGUAGUGUGUGGAUCUCUGCAAGCAGAGCCUCAUCUUUCAAUUUCAGCUACAUGAAAGAGGAAGAAAGGGAAAGAUAUAUGUCAUACGUGAUAUACUUUAUGUGGCUUUGAAGACCCCUCUUUUGUGGGGCUACGGCUAAAGAACAUAGUUCCCUGGGAUGGAAUUGGCUCUUCCUAUUUCCCUACUUCAUGAAAACUCCAGUAGAAGACCUUAGAACCUUGUCCUGGUUACAUGGAUAUGUUUACUUUGUGAAAAUUCAUCAAGCACUAUGCACGGUCAUGAUUUGUACAUUUUUUUGUAAGAUAACUUCAUUAAAAUUUACUUUUUUUAUUUUU
rnacentral:lncRNA from 1 species